rnacentral:rRNA from 1 species
GUACGUUGGGGGAGGGUAACCUACCGGAACCGGAACGGGCUAAUACCGCAUAAGUCCGAGAGGAGAAAGCGGUUUUGUGAAAGCAAAGCCGCGCAGGAGGAGGAGUCCGCGGCCGAUUAGCUAGUUGGUAGGGUAAAAGCCUACCAAGGCUACGAUCGGUAGCCGGCCUGAGAGGGCACACGGCCACACUGGCACUGAAACACGGGCCAG